rnacentral:rRNA from 1 species
AGAGUUUGAUCCUGGCUCAGGAUGAACGCUAGCUACAGGCUUAACACAUGCAAGUCGAGGGGCAGCAUGAACUUAGCUUGCUAAGUUUGAUGGCGACCGGCGCACGGGUGAGUAACACGUAUCCAACCUUCCGUUUACUCAGGGAUAGCCUUUCGAAAGAAAGAUUAAUACCUGAUAGUAUGGUGAGAUUGCAUGAUGGCACCAUUAAAGAUUUAUUGGUAAACGAUGGGGAUGCGUUCCAUUAGGUAGUAGGCGGGGUAACGGCCCACCUAGCCGACGAUGGAUAGGGGUUCUGAGAGGAAGGUCCCCCACAUUGGAACUGAGACACGGUCCAAACUCCUACGGGAGGCAGCAGUGAGGAAUAUUGGUCAAUGGGCGAGAGCCUGAACCAGCCAAGUAGCGUGAAGGAUGAAGGUCCUACGGAUUGUAAACUUCUUUUAUACGGGAAUAAAGUUUCCUACGUGUAGGAUUUUGUAUGUACCGUAUGAAUAAGCAUCGGCUAACUCCGUGCCAGCAGCCGCGGUAAUACGGAGGAUGCGAGCGUUAUCCGGAUUUAUUGGGUUUAAAGGGAGCGCAGACGGGAGAUUAAGUCAGUUGUGAAAGUUUGCGGCUCAACCGUAAAAUUGCAGUUGAUACUGGUUUCCUUGAGUGCAGUUGAGGCAGGCGGAAUUCGUGGUGUAGCGGUGAAAUGCUUAGAUAUCACGAAGAACCCCGAUUGCGAAGGCAGCUUGCUAAACUGUAACUGACGUUCAUGCUCGAAAGUGUGGGUAUCAAACAGGAUUAGAUACCCUGGUAGUCCACACGGUAAACGAUGGAUACUCGCUGUUGGCGAUAUACUGUCAGCGGCUUAGCGAAAGCGUUAAGUAUCCCACCUGGGGAGUACGCCGGCAACGGUGAAACUCAAAGGAAUUGACGGGGGCCCGCACAAGCGGAGGAACAUGUGGUUUAAUUCGAUGAUACGCGAGGAACCUUACCCGGGCUUAAAUUGCAGACGAAUUACGAGGAAACUUGUAAGCCGCAAGGCGUCUGUGAAGGUGCUGCAUGGUUGUCGUCAGCUCGUGCCGUGAGGUGUCGGCUUAAGUGCCAUAACGAGCGCAACCCUCGUGGUCAGUUACUAACAGGUUAAGCUGAGGACUCUGGCCAGACUGCCAUCGUAAGAUGUGAGGAAGGUGGGGAUGACGUCAAAUCAGCACGGCCCUUACGUCCGGGGCUACACACGU